rnacentral:rRNA from 1 species
AUUGAACGCUGGCGGCAGGCCUAACACAUGCAAGUCGAACGAGUGGCGGACGGGUGAGUAAUGUCUGGGAAACUGCCUGAUGGAGGGGGAUAACUACUGGAAACGGUAGCUAAUACCGCAUACCAUCAGAUGUGCCCAGAUGGGAUUAGCUAGUUGGUGGGGGAACGGCUCACCAAGGCGACGAUCCCUAGCUGGUCUGAGAGGAUGACCAGCCACACCUGAACGUAGACACGGUCCAGACUCCUACGGGGGGCAGCAGUGGGGAAUAUUGGACAAUGGGCGGAAGCCUGAUUGAGCCAUGCCGGGUGUAUGAAGAAGGCCUUCGGGUUGGAAAGUACUUUCAGCCGGGAGGCGUUACCCGCAGAAGAAGCACCGGCUAACUCCGUGCCAGCAGCCGCGGUAAUUC